rnacentral:rRNA from 1 species
AUUUCUUACUGUCUUUAUUAUUGUAAGUAACGCCUGCUCAAUGAAUAUUCAAUAGCCGCGGAAAAUUAACCGUGCUAAGGUAGCAUAAUCACUAGCCUCUUAAUUGGAGGCUCGCAUGAACGACGAAACAUUUUAAUAACUUUUUUUUAUAGUUAUUUUUAAAUUUAGUUAAGAAUUAUAAUGUUCUUAUUCUAAAAAUAGACGACAAGACCCUAUUGAACUUUACUGAAGUUAAGCUGGGGCAGCUAAGAAAUUAUUAUCUUUCUUUUAUUAAGUAAAUAAAUGACCCAAUAUUUUUGAAUGUUUGAAUAAGUUACCAUAGGGAUAACAGCGUAAUAUUCUUUUAAAGCUCUUAUUAAAAAGGAAGUUUGCGACCUCGAUGUUGAAUUAAUUGUUACUUUAAAAACGCAGUAGUUUUAAAAGUAAGUCUGUUCGA